rnacentral:tRNA from 1 species
GGCAUGGUAGCCGAGUGGGUAAAGCGCUUAUAACUAUUUACUCGUUAUCGAAUAUCGAUGGUUCGAAUCCAUCCCGGAGCAACA